AUUGAACGCUGGCGGCAUGCCUUACACAUGCAAGUCGAACGGUAACAGGCCGCAAGGUGCUGACGAGUGGCGAACGGGUGAGUAAUGCAUCGGAACGUGCCCAGUCGUGGGGGAUAACGCAGCGAAAGCUGUGCUAAUACCGCAUACGAUCUAUGGAUGAAAGCGGGGGACCGUAAGGCCUCGCGCGAUUGGAGCGGCCGAUGUCAGAUUAGGUAGUUGGUGGGGUAAAGGCCUACCAAGCCGACGAUCUGUAGCUGGUCUGAGAGGACGACCAGCCACACUGGGACUGAGACACGGCCCAGACUCCUACGGGAGGCAGCAGUGGGGAAUUUUGGACAAUGGGCGCAAGCCUGAUCCAGCAAUGCCGCGUGCAGGAAGAAGGCCUUCGGGUUGUAAACCGCUUUUGUCAGGGAAGAAACGCUCUGGGUUAAUACCUCGGGGUAAUGACGGUACCUGAAGAAUAAGCACCGGCUAACUACGUGCCAGCCGCCGCAGUAAGAC
rnacentral:rRNA from 1 species